rnacentral:rRNA from 1 species
AGUAGGGAAUCUUCCGCAAUGGGCGAAAGCCUGACGGAGCAACGCCGCGUGAGUGAUGAAGGUCUUCGGAUCGUAAAACUCUGUUAUUAGGGAAGAACAUAUGUGUAAGUAACUGUGCACAUCUUGACGGUACCUAAUCAGAAAGCCACGGCUAACUACGUGCCAGCAGCCGCGGUAAUACGUAGGUGGCAAGCGUUAUCCGGAAUUAUUGGGCGUAAAGCGCGCGUAGGCGGUUUUUUAAGUCUGAUGUGAAAGCCCACGGCUCAACCGUGGAGGGUCAUUGGAAACUGGAAAACUUGAGUGCAGAAGAGGAAAGUGGAAUUCCAUGUGUAGCGGUGAAAUGCGCAGAGAUAUGGAGGAACACCAGUGGCGAAGGCGACUUUCUGGUCUGUAACUGACGCUGAUGUGCGAAAGCGUGGGGAUCAAA